AGAGUUUGAUCAUGGCUCAGGACGAACGCUGGCGGCGUGCUUAACACAUGCAAGUCGAACGGUAAGGCCCUUCGGGGUACACGAGUGGCGAACGGGUGAGUAACACGUGGGUAAUCUGCCCUGCACAUCGGGAUAAGCCUGGGAAACUGGGUCUAAUACCGAAUAGGACCACAGAACACAUGUCCUGUGGUGGAAAGCUUUUGCGGUGUGGGAUGGGCCCGCGGCCUAUCAGCUUGUUGGUGGGGUGAUGGCCCACCAAGGCGACGACGGGUAGCCGGCCUGAGAGGGUGUCCGGCCACACUGGGACUGAGAUACGGCCCAGACUCCUACGGGAGGCAGCAGUGGGGAAUAUUGCACUAUGGGCGAAAGCCUGAUGCAGCGACGCCGCGUGGGGGAUGACGGCCUUCGGGUUGUAAACCUCUUUCACCAUCGACGAAGGUUCGGGUUUUCUCGGAUUGACGGUAGGUGGAGAAGAAGCACCGGCCAACUACGUGCCAGCAGCCGCGGUAAUACGUAGGGUGCGAGCGUUGUCCGGAAUUACUGGGCGUAAAGAGCUCGUAGGUGGUUUGUCGCGUUGUUCGUGAAAUCUCACGGCUUAACUGUGAGCGUGCGGGCGAUACGGGCAGACUUGAGUACUGCAGGGGAGACUGGAAUUCCUGGUGUAGCGGUGGAAUGCGCAGAUAUCAGGAGGAACACCGGUGGCGAAGGCGGGUCUCUGGGCAGUAACUGACGCUGAGGAGCGAAAGCGUGGGGAGCGAACAGGAUUAGAUACCCUGGUAGUCC
rnacentral:rRNA from 1 species